UUGUUUUUACGUUUUUAUUUAAAAAUAUAUGUUUAAAAUGUUAUCUUUUACUAUGUUUUAUUUAAUCAAUGAAUUUUAUCUUUUAAUAAAAAAAUAUUUAAUAUUUUUUUUAAGAACCCUUAAUUAAGAUAUAUGCAUAGGAAGACAUAAAUGUUCUGGUCUCUUAACUAAGUCUCUACCUCACAAUUACUACUUAAAAGUAUUAAAAAAGAAAUAAGAGAUUCUAAAGGAAUCUUUGGAAUAAUGAUGCUCUAAAGACACCAUUAUUUAUCGCAGUUUCUUAAAAACGUCUUUUAGAGUAGUUAGUAAUUAAAAAAAAGAAAAUAGAAAUUAAAGGAAGAAACAUAUCUUAAUUAGGGAAGGAAGAAACGUUUAUUAUUCGACACGUGUUGAUAGGAGAAGAAAACGUCUCUUCUCUCUCUCUCUCUCUCUCUCUCUCUCUGUAUCAAAUCCCUGAAACGAGCACUUGAUCUCUUCUCCCCCGUCCAUGGCCAAUUCCCUCCUCCUGAUGCCGAAGCCGAAGAAAAAUCAUUCAAAAGCAAAGCGGAAAGGAAGAUUACAAUCAAAGACUCACUUCCUUCACUCUAUUACAGAUUCUUCCUCUGUCAGCACGAUUCAUUUUGGCUCAAGCUCGAAUCAGGGUUUAGUUUGAUAAAAUCGAUUUCAGUGAGAAGAAUCUGGUGAGAGGAACCGUGGAGGAUUCGUAAGGAGGGAAAGCUGAAGAGUCGGAGGGUAGCUAGAAGGAGAUUGUUGAGUUGGAUAUGGCUUCUCCUUGCUUCUUUCUCUGUUGCAGGAUUGGUUCUAUUCAUGGUUCAGCAUCGUCAUCAACAACAAGAUCCAUCUCAGCUAACACUUGUAUGUCUUCCUCUCUGGUCUUAGUUCAAAGUUUUUUUUUAGUUUCUUAAAAGCAAUGUAUUGAUUGCUGAGAUUGAGUUUGGCUCUAAGUUCUAACGAUCAUCUGCUCAUGAAAAAAGUGUUGAUCUUUGUAGUUUGGGCUGACGAAAGAUUGGUGUCAUUGUAGCCUAAUAUUUUUUUUAAGCUGAAAAUGGUUUAUUAGGUUGGUCUCUCUGUAUCUAUGGAAUCAGUGCAAGUUGAACUCUUUCCACAACGGGCAUGACCAAAUCUUAGUGUAGUUUCUUAUUGACAUUGCUUGUGGGUUUGGGGUUUGAAUCGACGGAGAACAACGACGGUUGCUGCAUGUGUCUUGUUUGAAUCGAGAGGUAAAGCUAUGUUAAUUUGUUUUCUUGUUUGAAUCUUUCAAUUUUGCAUGUGUUAGAUUCGGAUAAACGAAAGCCUUAAUAACAUCACAUAAUCAAUUAAUAGAACUUGUAUUUGGAUAGAUGUUGUUGGAGCAAAAGGUUAGGAUCUCAGAUAAUUUCAGUUUGUAUUGUGAUUGUGAUUGUGAUUGUGUAGGAAGACUUGUAAAUCCAAGAGACAUGAGCCUUUGUUUAAGUUGAUUUGUUUGUUGGUUGGUGUAUUAGAAGUUGUUGUCAUGGGGUUAUUGUUCUGGUUAUCUUUAAGUUUGUGUUUCUUGUUUCAUGUUCUUGUUUCGUGAAAGAGUUAAUGUAUUACCAAAUCUUUUGUUUCUUGUUCUUGUUAUUUUUAAUGAUUGUAUGAUUGUGUAUUCACAAACUUGUAUAUUGUAUUGUUGUGGUCACGUUGAAAAUGUUUCACGGACAAGAAAUGAAAGACCUUUGUAAUGAUUGUAUGAUUGUGUAUUCACAAACUUGUAUAAAUAAUAUCUUGUAAUGAAAGUGUAUUCACAAGCC